AACUAGUGGUCCUGUGCGCUAUACUACACAACAUCGCGGUAAGGAGUAGCGUAGAGCUUCCUCAGACAGAGGAAUUGCCUGAUGAGGAGCCAGGGGUUGUCCGACACUUCGGUGGGGGGAGUGUUACACGGAGGGGGAGCCAAGUCAGGGCAAGCAUUGUUGCAGAAUAUUUCAGCUGAAUGAUCACACAAACUGUGGACGACCACAACGGCAAAGACAGCCAGUGAGCCCACAUCAGGCAGCUUCUCAGCCCCCUUCCCCUUCUCACUCCCCCUCCACUUCCC